rnacentral:rRNA from 1 species
UACAGGGGGGGCAAGCGUUGUUCGGAAUUACUGGGCGUAAAGGGCUCGUAGGUGGCCAACUAAGUCAGACGUGAAAUCCCUCAGCUUAACUGGGGAACUGCGUCUGAUACUGGAUGGCUUGAGUUUGGGAGAGGGAUGCGGAAUUCCAGGUGUAGCGGUGAAAUGCGUAGAUAUCUGGAGGAACACCGGUGGCGAAGGCGGCAUCCUGGACCAACACUGACACUGAGGAGCGAAAGCCAGGGGAGCGAAACGGAGUAUAA